rnacentral:rRNA from 5 species
AAAUUGAAGAGUUUGAUCAUGGCUCAGAUUGAACGCUGGCGGCAGGCCUAACACAUGCAAGUCGAACGGUAACAGGAAGCAGCUUGCUGCUUCGCUGACGAGUGGCGGACGGGUGAGUAAUGUCUGGGAAACUGCCUGAUGGAGGGGGAUAACUACUGGAAACGGUGGCUAAUACCGCAUAACGUCG